AGUGAACGCUGGCGGUAUGCCUAACACAUGCAAGUCGAACGGCAGCACAGUAAUAGCUUGCUCUUACGGUUGGCGAGUGGCGGACGGGUGAGGAAUACAUCGGAAUCUACUUUUUCGUGGGGGAUAACGUAUGGAAACUUACGCUAAUACCGCAUACGACCUACUGGUGAAAGCAGGGGAUCUUCGUACCUUGCGCGAUUGAAUGAGCCGAUGUCGGAUUAGCUAGUUGGCGGGGUAAAGGCCCACCAAGGCGACGAUCCGUAGCUGGUCUGAGAGGAUGAUAAGCGACACUGGAACUGAGACACGGACAAGACGACUAAGGGAGGCAGCAGUGGGGAAUAUUGGACAAUGGGCGAAAGCAUGAUCCAGCCAUACCGAGUGGGUGAAGAAGGCCUUCGGGUUGUAAAGACGUUUUGUUGGGAAAGAAAAGCAGCAGGUUAAUAACAAGCUGUUCUGACGGUACCCAAAGAAUAAGCACCGGCUAACUUCGUG
rnacentral:rRNA from 1 species